CAAUAGCGUAUAUUAAAGUUGUUGCAGUUAAAAAGCUCGUAGUUGGAUUUCUGGUGGGAGCGAUCGGUCUGGCGCUUAGCGCGAGUACUUGCAUCGUCUCCGGCCAUCCUUGGGGAGAGUCUGUCUGGCAUUAAGUUGUCGGGCAGAGGAUCCUCAUCGUUUACUGUGAAAAAAUUAGAGUGUUCAAAGCAGGCUUAUGCCGUUGAAUAUAUUAGCAUGGAAUAAUAAGAUAGGACUUUGGUACUAUUUUGUUGGUUUGCGCACCAAAGUAAUGAUUAAUAGGGACAGUUGGGGGUAUUCGUAUUCCGUUGUCAGAGGUGAAAUUCUUGGAUUUACGGAAGACGAACAACUGCGAAAGCAUUUGCCAAGGAUGUUUUCAUUAA
rnacentral:rRNA from 1 species